UGGGGAAUAUUGGACAAUGGGCGCAAGCCUGAUCCAGCCAUGCCGCGUGUGUGAAGAAGGCCUUUUGGUUGUAAAGCACUUUAAGCGAGGAGGAGGCUACUUGGAUUAAUACUCUAAGAUAGUGGACGUUACUCGCAGAAUAAGCACCGGCUAACUCUGUGCCAGCAGCCGCGGUAAUACAGAGGGUGCGAGCGUUAAUCGGAUUUACUGGGCGUAAAGCGUGCGUAGGCGGCUUCUUAAGUCGGAUGUGAAAUCCCUGAGCUUAACUUAGGAAUUGCAUUCGAUACUGGGAAGCUAGAGUAUGGGAGAGGAUGGUAGAAUUCCAGGUGUAGCGGUGAAAUGCGUAGAGAUCUGGAGGAAUACCGAUGGCCAAGGCAGCCAUCUGGCCUAAUACUGACGCUGAGGUACGAAAGCAUGGGGAGCAAACAGG
rnacentral:rRNA from 1 species